GUACAUGCAGGGCUAAGCUAGCUAGCGUUAGUUAGUUAGUUAGAUGAUACUAGGUAUAGGUAGAUGUUACCUGUGUAGAUGCAGGGCUAAGCUAGCUAGCGUUAGUUAGUUAGAUGAUACUAGGUACAGGUAGAUGUUACCUGUGUACAUGCAGGGCUAAGCUAGCUAGCUAGCGUUAGUUAGUUAGAUGAUACUAGGUACAGGUAGAUGUUACCUGUGUACAUGCAGGGCUAAGCUAGCUAGCGUUAGUUAGAUGAUACUAUGUAUAGGUAGAUGUUACCUGUGUACAUGCAGGGCUAAGCUAGCUAGCUAGCGUUAGUUAGAUGAUACUAGGGUCAGGUAGAUGUUACCUGUGUACAUGCAGGGCUAAGCUAGCUAGCGUUAGUUAGUUAGAUGAUACUAGGUACAGGUAGAUGUUACCUGUGUACAUGCAGGUGAGCAUGAGUCCCAGUGCAGACAUGGCUCUGUGAGGGCUUGGCAUGUUAACCCUGUCGACACUCAGUUUAACCAGUGCCUCUCCGUCCAUACGAGACAGCUGCUCCGACAGCAGGAGGCGCUCCAACCCACGCAACACACAGUGGUAGAUCACUGAGGGGGUGGAGUCUUCACUGGCUGAUACCAUCACACCACACAUCUAGAGA
ensembl:lncRNA